rnacentral:rRNA from 1 species
AGAGUUUGAUCCUGGCUCAGAAUGAACGCUGGCGGCGUGCUUAACACAUGCAAGUCGCACGAGAAAGCACCGAGCUUGCUUGGUGCGAGUAAAGUGGCGCACGGGUGAGUAACGCGUGGAUAAUCUACCUNCGAGUUCGGGAUAACACUUCGAAAGAGGUGCUAAUACCGGAUAACAUCACGGAAGCUUUGGUUUUUGUGAUCAAAGAUGGCCUCUGCAUGCAAGCUAUCGCUUGGAGAUGAGUUCGCGUACCAUUAGCUUGUUGGUGGGGUAAGGGCCUACCAAGGCGACGAUGGUUAGCUGGUCUGAGAGGAUGAUCAGCCACACUGGCACUGACACACGGGCCAGACUCCUACGGGAGGCAGCAGUGAGGAAUUUUGCGCAAUGGGGGUAACCCUGACGCAGCAACGCCGCGUGAGUGAAGAAGGCUUUCGGGUCGUAAAGCUCUGUCGAGUGGGAAGAACCCGCAGCAGGUCAACAGGCUGCUGCGCUGACGGUACCACUUGAGGAAGCACCGGCUAACUCCGUGCCAGCAGCCGCGGUAAUACGGAGGGUGCAAGCGUUAUUCGGAAUUACUGGGCGUAAAGGGCGCGCAGGCGGCCAGAUAAGUCAGUAGUGAAAGCCCGGGGCUCAACCUCGGAAGUGCUGCUGAAACUGUUUGGCUUGAGUAUGGUAGAGGGAAGCGGAAUUCCUGGUGUAGCGGUGAAAUGCGUAGAUAUCAGGAGGAACACCGGUGGCGAAGGCGGCU